rnacentral:rRNA from 1 species
UGUAGUCAUAUGCUUGUCUCAAAGAUUAAGCCAUGCAUGUCUAAGUACAUACUUUUGCACGGUGAAACCGCGAAUGGCUCAUUAAAUCAGUUAUGGUUCCUUAGAUAGUUCAUAUUACAUGGAUAACUGUGGUAAUUCUAGAGCUAAUACAUGCAAAAAGCUCCGACCGUAUGGGAAGAGCGCUUUUAUUAGACCAAAACCAAUGGGAUCGCAAGAUUCCUUUGUAUGGUGACUCUGGAUAACUUUGUGCAGAUCGCAUGGCCUAGAGCCGGCGACGUAUCUUUCAAAUGUCUGCCCUAUCAACUUUCGAUGGUAAGCGAUAUGCCUACCAUGGUUGCAACGGGUAACGGGGAAUG